GAUGAACGCUAGCGACAGGCCUAACACAUGCAAGUCGAGGGGCAGCGGGGGCGAAGCUUGCUUUGCCUGCCGGCGACCGGCGCACGGGUGAGUAACACGUAUGGAACCUGCCCGCCACAGGGGGAUAACCGGUAGAAAUGCCGACUAAUACCCCGUAUGCCCACAGGGGCGCAUGCCCUGGUGGGGAAACAUUCAUGGGUGGCGGAUGGCCAUGCGGCGCAUUAGCUGGUUGGCGGGGUAACGGCCCACCAAGGCGACGAUGCGUAGGGGUUCUGAGAGGAAGGUCCCCCACAUUGGUACUGAGACACGGACCAAACUCCUACGGGAGGCAGCAGUGAGGAAUAUUGGUCAAUGGGCGAGAGCCUGAACCAGCCAAGUCGCGUGAGGGAAGACGGUCCUACGGAUUGUAAAACCUCUUUUUGUCGGGGAGUAACGUGCGGGACGCGUCCCGUAUUGAGAGUACCCGAAGAAAAAGCAUCGGCUAACUCCGUG
rnacentral:rRNA from 1 species